rnacentral:rRNA from 1 species
AACGUAGGACACAAGCGUUAUCCGGAGUUACUGGGCGUAAAGGGCGUUUAGGCGGGGGAUUAAGUUCGCUAUGAAAGCGCCAGGCUAAACCUGGCGAGGCUGGCGGAUACUGGUCAUCUGGAGUGAGUCAGAGGAAGGUAGAAUUCCGCGUGUAGUGGUGAAAUGCGUAGAGAUGCGGAGGAAUACCAGUGGCGAAGGCGGCCUUCUGGGACUCAACUGACGCUGAAGCGCGAAAGCAUGGGGAGCGAACGGG